AUUGAACACUGGCGGCAUGCCUAACACAUGCAAGUCGAACGGUAACGGACCGCUGGGAUUCCUUCGGGAUGACCUUGGUGCCGACGAGUGGCGGACGGGUGAGUAAUACUUAGGAAUCUGCCCAGUAGUGGGGGACAACAUUCGGAAACGGAUGCUAAUACCGCAUACGCCCUACGGGGGAAAGCGGGGGAUCUUCGGACCUCGCGCUAUUGGAUGAGCCUAAGUCGGAUUAGCUUGUUGGUGAGGUAACGGCUCACCAAGGCGACGAUCCGUAGCUGGUCUGAGAGGACGAUCAGCCACACUGGGACUGAGACACGGCCCAGACUCCUACGGGAGGCAGCAGUGGGGAAUAUUGGACAAUGGGGGCAACCCUGAUCCAGCAAUGCCGCGUGUGUGAAGAAGGCCUGCGGGUUGUAAAGCACUUUCAGUAGAGAAGAAAAGCCUAGGGUUAAUACCCCUGAGUCUUGACGUAACCUACAGAAGAAGCACCGGCUAACUCCGUG
rnacentral:rRNA from 1 species